rnacentral:rRNA from 1 species
UACGGGGGGAGCAAGCGUUGUUCGGAUUUACUGGGCGUAAAGGGCGCGUAGGCGGUCAGCACAAGUCAGUUGUGAAAUCUCCGGGCUUAACUCGGAAAGGUCAACUGAUACUGUGCGACUAGAGUGCAGAAGGGGCAACUGGAAUUCUCGGUGUAGCGGUGAAAUGCGUAGAUAUCGUAAGGAAGACCAGUGGCGAAGGCGAGUUUCUGGACAGUAACUGACGCUGAGGCACGAAGGCCAGGGGAGCAAACGGG